rnacentral:rRNA from 1 species
UAAUGUUUGAUGUUCUAACGUUGGCCCCUGACCGGGGUUGCGGACAGUGUCUGGUGGGUAGUUUGACUGGGGCGGUCUCCUCCCAAAGCGUAACGGAGGAGCACGAAGGUUAGCUAAUCCUGGUCGGACAUCAGGAGGUUAGUGCAAUGGCAUAAGCUAGCUUGACUGCGAGCGUGACGGCGCGAGCAGGUGCGAAAGCAGGUCAUAGUGAUCCGGUGGUUCUGAAUGGAAGGGCCAUCGCUCAACGGAUAAAAGGUACUCCGGGGAUAACAGGCUGAUACCGCCCAAGAGUUCAUAUCGACGGCGGUGUUUGGCACCUCGAUGUCGGCUCAUCACAUCCUGGGGCUGAAGUAGGUCCCAAGGGUAUGGCUGUUCGCCAUUUAAAGUGGUACGCGAGCUGGGUUUAGAACGUCGUGAGACAGUUCGGUCCCUAUCUGCCGUGGGCGCUGGAGAAUUGAGGGGGGCUGCUCCUAGUACGAGAGGACCGGAGUGGACGCAUCACUGGUGUUCGGGUUGUCAUGCCAAUGGCACUGCCCGGUAGCUAAAUGCGGAAGAGAUAAGUGCUGAAAGCAUCUAAGCACGAAACUUGCCCCGAGAUGAGUUCUCCCUGAGACUUUAAGUCUCCUGAAGGAACGUU